GCACCGGUAGCUCAAUUGGAUAGAGUACCUGGCUACGGACCAGGAGGUUAGAGGUUCGACUCCUCUCCGGUGCA
rnacentral:tRNA from 1 species